GUGAUUAGAACAACUCCCACUAUUAUUCGCUCAUCGCAAUUCAUCCGUAGAUAGAAUAUUCCCUGGCACCACCAACAGUGCCAACGAUUUCCCAGCAAGGUAUGUUUAUGAUUAAGCGCUGUUUUUUUUUGUUGUUGGUGAGGGUUUUGAUUAGCGAUUUUUUUUUCUUUUGUAUCGUUUGCGUAUCAUGAAUUUUGGGGGUUUUACUUGUGUGCUACCGUAUCUUGAAUAAUGAUGGGGAUUUGAAUAUUUAUUUGUUGAAUUGGUGAUUCAUAUGGGUUGGCUUCCAUUCGUCUUGUUAGGCCUAUGAGUCUAUGACUCAGUUUAAAAUUAUACCUUAAAGUUUCUCCAAUUUCUAGUAUUUGACAUUCUUUUAUAUUUGACAUUGUUUGGCAUAUGGGCACCUUCGUAUCUAUUUCUGUUUCACUAUUUCAAUUUGAGACCAAUUGCGUUAAUUAGGGUUUCACGUAACUGAAAUCCAUUGAUGCAAAAACUUAUAUGA
rnacentral:lncRNA from 1 species